AAGUGAAAUAUUGGCGGAGUUCCGAGUGCUUUCCAGUGUUGCCAGGUUUUUUCAAAACCGCAAUUGCUACUCAAAACUAUCCCAAUCGCGUUUCGCGAAGGGUUCCCCGAAAAUUCACAUUCCAGGCACUAAAUAUCACAUUAUUGGGGUCGCUUCAACUUGCGGACAUGUAAAGCAACCCGCAGCAACAGUGUUACAAUAUCCCAAUUCCUCAGAAAAAUCGAGGACAUGGCAACGCUGUCGCGUCGGCGCUGCUUGGGUCUCUAUCAACAAAAUAUUUCAUCUGUACGCUCACGUGAACCUGCACGCAUGAAAUCUCUCUGGGCCUGCUGACGGUCUCUUUUGGCAUCUCGCCUUCAUCAGCCUAUACCUUUAUAAGAAUGGGGGUCACUCGUCGGGUUCCCAUGGUUAAAUGGAGUCAUCAAGCUUCGUGGGAAUUCCAUGGCUGCAGAUGCAGAGAACUUUGGCUCUCACCUCAUCUUUACACAGGUCACUCUUUGGACUGGCGCUAUUAUGAAGCAGGCUCUAUCAAGCUGAUGUAUAUGGUCAUCUUUCAGCUGAGUUCUAGGUAAGAGUCGGCUCGUCUUUAAAGUCCACGUGAACUGGAGGUCGCUGCUGACUUUAUUUCAGUGUGGUGAUGUUUUUCCAGCUGAAACGGAAUAUUGAAUAGAGGGCAUGGUUUUUGUUUGCGCUUCUAGUCUGUCUUUC